rnacentral:rRNA from 1 species
AGAGUUUGAUCCUGGCUCAGGACGAACGCUGGCGGCGUGCCUAAUACAUGCAAGUCGAGCGGACGUUUCAAGGAGCUUGCUCUUUGAAACGUUAGCGGCGGACGGGUGAGUAACACGUGGGCAACCUGCCCUGCAGAUGGGGAUAACUCCGGGAAACCGGGGCUAAUACCGAAUAAUCAGUUUCUCCGCAUGGAGAAACU